AUACGGAGGGUGCAAGCGUUGUUCGGAAUUAUUGGGCGUAAAGCGCGUGUAGGCGGCUUGGUAAGUCAGGUGUGAAAGCCCUUAGCUCAACUAAGGAAAGUCAUCUGAAACUGCCAGGCUUGAGUACGGGAGAGGAGAGUGGAAUUCCCGGUGUAGAGGUGAAAUUCGUAGAUAUCGGGAGGAACACCCGUGGCGAAGGCGACUCUCUGGACCGAUACUGACGCUGAGACGCGAAAGCGUGGGGAGCAAACAGGAUUAGAUACCCCAGUAGUCC
rnacentral:rRNA from 1 species